rnacentral:rRNA from 1 species
UACGUAGGGCGCGAGCGUUGUCCGGAUUUAUUGGGCGUAAAGAGCUCGUAGGCGGCUUGUUACGUCGGUCGUGAAAACUUGGGGCUCAACCCCAAGCUUGCGGUCGAUACGGGCAGGCUAGAGUUCGGUAGGGGAGACUGGAAUUCCUGGUGUAGCGGUGAAAUGCGCAGAUAUCAGGAGGAACACCGGUGGCGAAGGCGGGUCUCUGGGCCGAUACUGACGCUGAGGAGCGAAAGCGUGGGGAGCGAACAGG